CAGGAUGAACGCUAGCUACAGGCUUAACACAUGCAAGUCGAGGGGCAGCAUGAAACUUAGCUUGCUAAGUUUGAUGGCGACCGGCGCACGGGUGAGUAACACGUAUCCAACCUACCGUUUACUACGGGAUAGCCUUCUGAAAAGGAGAUUAAUACCGUAUGGCAUUCUAAAGUUUCAUGACAUUAGAAUUAAAGGUUUACCGGUAAUCGAUGGGGAUGCGUUCCAUUAGAUAGUAGGCGGGGUAACGGCCCACCUAGUCUACGAUGGAUAGGGGUUCUGAGAGGAAGGUCCCCCACAUUGGAACUGAGACACGGUCCAAACUCCUACGGGAGGCAGCAGUGAGGAAUAUUGGUCAAUGGGCGCGAGCCUGAACCAGCCAAGUAGCGUAGAAGGAUGACUGCCCUAUGGGUUGUAAACUUCUUUUAUAAAGGAAUAAAGUAGUCCACGUGUGGAUUUUUGUAUGUACUUUAUGAAUAAGGAUCGGCUAACUCCGUGCCAGCCGCUGC
rnacentral:rRNA from 1 species